AUUGAACGCUGGCGGCAGGCCUAACACAUGCAAGUCGAGCGGAUGAAGGGAGCUUGCUCCUGGAUUCAGCGGCGGACGGGUGAGUAAUGCCUAGGAAUCUGCCUGGUAGUGGGGGAUAACGUCCGGAAACGGGCGCUAAUACCGCAUACGUCCUGAGGGAGAAAGUGGGGGAUCUUCGGACCUCACGCUAUCAGAUGAGCCUAGGUCGGAUUAGCUAGUUGGUGGGGUAAAGGCCUACCAAGGCGACGAUCCGUAACUGGUCUGAGAGGAUGAUCAGUCACACUGGAACUGGAACACGGUCCAGGCUCCUACGGGAGGCAGCAGUGGGGAAUAUUGGACAGUGGGCGAAAGCCUGAUCCAGCCAUGCCGCGUGUGUGAAGAAGGUCUUCGGAUUGUAAAGCACUUUAAGUUGGGAGGAAGGGCAGUAAGUUAAUACCUUGCUGUUUUGACGUUACCAACAGAAUAAGCACCGGCUAACUUCGUG
rnacentral:rRNA from 1 species